rnacentral:rRNA from 1 species
UACUGUAAGAAUAAGGAUCGGCUAACUCCGUGCCAGCAGCCGCGGUAAUACGGAGGAUCCAAGCGUUAUCCGGAAUCAUUGGGUUUAAAGGGUCCGUAGGCGGCUUAAUAAGUCAGUGGUGAAAGCCCUACGCUUAACGUAGGAACGGCCAUUGAUACUGUUAGGCUUGAAUUAUUAGGAAGUAACUAGAAUAUGUAGUGUAGCGGUGAAAUGCUUAGAGAUUACAUGGAAUACCAAUUGCGAAGGCAGGUUACUACUAAUGGAUUGACGCUGAUGGACGAAAGCGGGUAGCGAACAGGAUAGAUACCCUGUAGU